rnacentral:misc_RNA from 1 species
CCGAAUUGUCGACACGAGUUGUUGCUGGUCCUCAAACGAGGGCAUGUGCACGCUCUGUUUACACAUCCACUCACACCUGUGCACCCUCUGUAGUUCUAUGGCUUGGGGGACUCUGUUCUCCUGUCAUGGUUCUACGUCUUUACACACACUCUGUAAUGAAGUCUCAUGGAAUGUAUGCCGCGUUUAACGCAAUACAAUA